rnacentral:misc_RNA from 1 species
AUGCGAUAAGUAAUGUGAAUUGCAGAAUUCAGUGAAUCAUCGAAUCUUUGAACGCACAUUGCGCCCGCCAGUAUUCUGGCGGGCAUGCCUGUUCGAGCGUCAUUUCAACCAUCAAGCCCCAGGCUUGUGUUGGGGGCCUGCGGCUGCCGCAGCCCCCUAAAAGCAGUGGCGGGCUCGCUGUCAUUCCGAGCGCAGUAGUUACAUCUCGCUCUGGGUGUGGCGGCGGGCACCUGCCGUAAAACACUUCUAAGGUUGACCUCGGAUCAGGUAGGAAUACCCGCUGAACUUAA